rnacentral:sRNA from 1 species
ACUCAACGUUAAUUCUUUAAAAAGGGUGAGUUUAAGUUGUAAAAGCAUGCUGUUUUAUUUGCAGAUCCUUGAUCAGCUUGUUAGCCCUAAACUUGUUUUUAAGGAGUUU